rnacentral:rRNA from 1 species
GGAAUAUUGGACAAUGGGCGAAAGCCUGAUCCAGCCAUGCCGCGUGUGUGAAGAAGGCUUUCGGGUUGUAAAGCACUUUCAGUGAGGAAGAAGGCCUUGGGGCUAAUACCCCCGAGGAAGGACAUCACUCGCAGAAGCAGCACCGGCAAACUACGUGCCAGCAGCCGCGGUAAUACGUAGGGUGCAGGCGUUAAUCGGAAUUACGGGGCGUAAGGCGUGCGCAGGCGGCUCCUUAAGUCAGAUGUGAAAGCCCCGGGCUUAACCUGGGAACUGCGUUUGAAACUGGGGGGCUAGAGUGUGGAAGAGGGGGGUGGAAUUCCAGGUGUAGCAGUGAAAUGCGUAGAGAUCUGGAGGAACACCGAUGGCGAAGGCAGCCCCCUGGGCUAACACUGACGCUCAUGCACGAAAGCGUGGGGAGCA